rnacentral:miRNA from 1 species
GAGGUUUCUGAUGUGCAUGCAC